GGACCAUAGGAGUAGAUGGUGGAUGUUGGUGGACCAUAGGAGUAGAUGGUGGAUGUCGCAGGACCAUAGGAGUAGAUGGUGGAUGUUGGUGGACCAUAGGAGUAGGUGGUGGAUGUUGCUGGACCAUAGGAGUAGAUGGUGGAUGUUGGUGGACCAUAGGAGUAGAUGGUGGAUGUUGGUGGACCAUAGGAGUAGAUGGUGGAUGUUGGUGGACCAUAGGAGUAGAUGGUGGAUGUUGGUGGACCAUAGGAGUAGAUGGUGGAUGUUGGUGGACCAUAGGAGUAGAUGGUGGAUGUUGGUGGAC
rnacentral:lncRNA from 1 species